rnacentral:rRNA from 1 species
AGCAGUAGCCACGGUAAAACGAAGGGUGCAAGCGUUAAUCGGAAUUACUGGGCGUAAAGCGUGCGUAGGCGGUUUGUUAAGUCUGCUGUGAAAUCCCCGGGCUCAACCUGGGAAUGGCAGUGGAUACUGGCAAGCUAGAGUGUGUCAGAGGAUGGUGGAAUUCUCGGUGUAGCGGUGAAAUGCGUAGAGAUCGGGAGGAACAUCAGUGGCGAAGGCGGCCAUCUGGGACAACACUGACGCUGAGGCACGAAAGCGUGGGGAGCAAACAGGAUUAGAUACCCCCGUAGUCCCUGUCUCUUAUAC